rnacentral:rRNA from 1 species
CGGGUGGCAGCAGCAACCGGGAAUCUUGCGCAAUGGACGAAAGUCUGACGCAGCGACGCCGCGUGGGGGAUGACGGCCUUCGGGUUGUAAACCUCUUUUAAUUCACCGUCGAGGUGGAUCGAAUAAGCACCUGCAAACUACGUGCCAGCAGCCGCGGUAAUACGUAGGGUGCAAGCGUUAUCCGGAUUUAUUGGGCGGAAGGGGUUUCGUAGGCGGUUUGGUAAGUGGUGGGUUAAAGCCCCGGGCUCAACUCGGGAAAAGCUCAUCAAACUGCCAGACUAGAAAGCUGUCGGGGAGGUUGGAAUUCCACAUGUAGGGGUGAAAUCCGUUGAUAUGUGGAGGAACACCGAGGGCGAAGGCAGACCUCUAGGCAGAUUUUGACGCUGAGGAACGAAAGCUAGGGUAGCGAAAGGGAUUAGAUACCCCAGUAGUC